AUUGAACGCUGGCGGCAGGCUUAACACAUGCAAGUCGAGCGGGGUGAUGGUGCUUGCACUAUCACUUAGCGGCGGACGGGUGAGUAAUGCUUAGGAAUCUGCCUAUUAGUGGGGGACAACAUCUCGAAAGGGAUGCUAAUACCGCAUACGUCCUACGGGAGAAAGCAGGGGAUCACUUGUGACCUUGCGCUAAUAGAUGAGCCUAAGUCGGAUUAGCUAGUUGGUGGGGUAAAGGCCUACCAAGGCGACGAUCUGUAGCGGGUCUGAGAGGAUGAUCCGCCACAAUGGGACUGAGACGCGGCCCAGACUCCUACGGGAGGUAGCGGUGGGGAAUAUUGGACAAUGGGGGGAACCCUGAUCCAGCCAUGCCGCGUGUGUGAAGAAGGCCUUAUGGUUGUAAAGCACUUUAAGCGAGGAGGAGGCUCUUUUGGUUAAUACCCAAGAUGAGUGGACGUUACUCGCAGAAUAAGCACCGGCUAACUCUGUGCCAGCCGCCGCCGUAA
rnacentral:rRNA from 1 species